CCGGUAGUCUGGGCAGCCGGAGAGGCAGAAAGGCGCAGGCGCAGCAAUUGCUAGUUACUCUGGAGGAGGGAGAAGCGGGCGGUCGCGGGUCGUCCCGGGGGAGGGUGUGCGAGCGCCGAUGCCGGGCCGCAGGGGUCCGUCCCUGUCCGCAAACUGCAGAGCGUCGGGCCCUCCGGAUUUACCGGGAUUCAGACACAGUGUUACGGAGUGUAUGCCUGUUUUUUAGUCCUUAUAACCUAACGAGACGAGUACUCUAUUAUUCUCCUUUUGGUCACAGGUUCUUGUCUCAUGGAGUUGCGGAAUGAAUCUCAUGGACACAAAAGGAUAAGGUGAAGUGAAAGUUUAUUAAGUGAAGCUAUGUCCUCUGCCCAGUGGGAAAGGCUCCACACCUGGCUAGUUCCUCCAUCGGCCACACCAGCUCCACCCAACAUGGUCCUCAACCUAGUUGGUUUUACAAGAUGGUGGAAUUAUUCAAACAAGCCAAUGAUACCCCCAUGGAAAGCUGGGAUCACUCCCACCCUCUUGAUACUACAGAGUUGGUCUUCCACAGCCCCUGCCAGUUUACUCUGUUUCUGGGUGCAAACCCCACAUGGCUCUGUGUGUGGCUUGCAGCGUCCACCUCACAAGGACUGGAAAUAAAUGUGAUUUAAUAAGC